AUUGAACGCUGGCGGCAGGCCUAACACAUGCAAGUCGAACGAGUGGCGGACGGGUGAGUAAUGUCUGGGAAACUGCCUGAUGGAGGGGGAUAACUACUGGAAACGGUAGCUAAUACCGCAUACCAUCGGAUGUGCCCAGAUGGGAUUAGAUAGUAGGUGGGGUAAAGGCUCACCUAGGCGACGAUCCCUAGCUGGUCUGAGAGGAUGACCAGACACACUGGAACUGAGACACGGCCCAGACUCCUACGGGAGGCAGCAGUGGGGAAGAUUGGGAAAUGGGCGAAAGUCUGAUAGAGCAAUGCCGCGGGUGUGAAGAAGGCCUUCGGAUUGUAAAGUACUUUCGGUGGGGAGGCGGUACCUACAGAAGAAGCACCGGCUAACUCCGUGCCAGCAGCCGCGGUAGUUC
rnacentral:rRNA from 1 species